GGCUACAUGGCAGAUCGGUUAUGCAGAGGACUGCAAAUCCUCGUAGGUCGGUUCGACUCCGGCUGUAGCCUCCA
rnacentral:tRNA from 1 species